rnacentral:rRNA from 1 species
GAUGAACGCUGACAGAAUGCUUAACACAUGCAAGUCUACUUGAACUUCGGUUUGGGUGGCGGACGGGUGAGUAACGCGUAAAGAACUUGCCUCACAGAUAGGGACAACAUUUGGAAACGAAUGCUAAUACCUGAUAUUAUGAUUUUAGGGCAUCCUAGAAUUAUGAAAGCUAUAUGCACUGUGAGAGAGCUUUGCGUCCCAUUAGCUAGUUGGAGAGGUAACGGCUCACCAAGGCGAUGAUGGGUAGCCGGCCUGAGAGGGUGAUCGGCCACAAGGGGACUGAGACACGGCCCUUACUCCUACGGGAGGCAACAGUGGGGAAUAUUGGACAAUGGACCAAGAGUCUGAUCCAGCAAUUCUGUGUGCACGAUGAAGUUUUUCGGAAUGUAAAGUGCUCUCAGUUGGGAAGAAAAAAAUGACGGUACCAACAGAAGAAGUGACGGCUAAAUACGUG